rnacentral:rRNA from 1 species
GUGGGGAAUAUUGGACAAUGGGCGAAAGCCUGAUCCAGCCAUGCCGCGUGUGUGAAGAAGGUCUUCGGAUUGUAAAGCACUUUAAGUUGGGAGGAAGGGCUGUAGGCUAAUAUCCUGCAGUUUUGACGUUACCGACAGAAUAAGCACCGGCUAACUUCGUGCCAGCAGCCGCGGUAAUACGAAGGGUGCAAGCGUUAAUCGGAAUUACUGGGCGUAAAGCGCGCGUAGGUGGUUCGUUAAGUUGGAUGUGAAAGCCCCGGGCUCAACCUGGGAACUGCAUCCAAAACUGGCGAGCUAGAGUACGGUAGAGGGUGGUGGAAUUUCCUGUGUAGCGGUGAAAUGCGUAGAUAUAGGAAGGAACACCAGUGGCGAAGGCGACCACCUGGACUGAUACUGACACUGAGGUGCGAAAGCGUGGGGAGCAAACAGGAUUAGAUACCCCGGUAGUCC